UUCGCCAGGGUACUACGAGCAUAAGCUUGAAACCCAAAGGACUUGGCGGUGCUUUAGUCCCACCUAGAGGAGCCUGUUCUGUAACCGAUAACCCCCGUUAAACCUCACCUUUUCUUGUUUUACCCGCCUAUAUACCGCCGUCGUCAGCUUACCCUGUAAAGGCUACUUAGUAAGCAAGAUUGAUAUAAUCCAAAACGUCAGGUCAAGGUGUAGCAUAUGAAAAGGAAAGAAAUGGGCUACAUUUCCUACUCUUAGGAUACAACGGAAAUUAAUAUGAAAGACACAUUGAAGGUGGAUUUAGUAGUAAGUGAGAAAUAGAGAGUCCU
rnacentral:rRNA from 1 species